rnacentral:lncRNA from 1 species
UUGCCUAAAGGAAAAACCACCUCAAAAUACUUUUUCUCAUUCCUACAAUUAGUAUUCUAAAGAAAAUUCCUAACGGAAAUAUAAAACACAAUAUUUUAAUUUUUGUUUUGGAUUUUGAUUCAUUACACACCAUUUCAAAUGCAAAAUAGAAAGUACAAUAAUAAUAAUAAAGCACGACGACAUUACUAUACAAAACUAAAAGGUAAAAGACGAUAUAAAAUAAAAAAAACAGACUCAAAACAUAAAAAGAAAAGAAAAUCUUCUUUUAAUCCACUCCCAAAUGAGCGAUCCUGACUAGAUGUCCUGGGGCUCUGUCAUGCUCAAACUCCGAUAAGUAAAUCCACGUCUGUAUGAGAAAAUUUAAACCAAAUAGGUUAAAUACCUAGAGCGCUAUGUGAGACAAUAACCCUUCCUACUGGAAAUAUGCAAGACAUGACUUAGGCUAUUUUUGCAAAAUGACAUAUUUGGCUAAAAGACGGCUAGAAGUGCAAAAUUUUGGCUAAGACCCCGCAAAGCCAAGAACCUAAGAUUUACUAGGAAGACCAGACCCUAUGUGGGUUUCCUACGUAUCACGCCCCAAAAGACGAGAAUCAGGUAUGCGUAGUUCAGGCAGAUUGGAUACGGGCGAGAAUUAAAAAAAACAACUAAUUUAGAGAAAACAUAUUUUUUGUCUUCUUUUUUUAUAAAAGAAAAAUGAUGAGACAAGUAGCUAACAGUGCUAAAUUAUGCUCUCAAGGAGAAAAACUGAUCUAAGAAACCAUGGAAACAGACAGUGGCAUGUAACUCCUUAAACAUCCGGAUAAUUUGUCUUUCACUUGGCAAUCUAAAAAAAUCGAACGAUCUUCACAAUUUGGUUACAUAUAAAAAUCAGUUGAAGGAAAGCAAAUUAACAAUGCUGAAAAUCCCAUUUCUCUAAAAAUUAUGAAGUAUCAAACUCUGUCUCAUCCUUAAGAUCGACUCGGAAUAGUAUUUGCCAAAAACGAAGAUUUUAUAUAUAACUUCCUAAUAACUUUUGAAUUAACAUGAAGCAGAAUCUUAACAUUAAAGGGUCGGGAUAUGAAGACAGCUCAAACAGCAAAAUCCAGUUAGAUAGGUAAUCUGCCACGACAAACUUGAAUUAACCUUUCGAACACUGUUAGCAUUUACAAUAUUUCGAAAUCAGGCAACUCAUUCAACGUUGUUCACAAAUGAAAUCAGAAAAGUGGCAAAUCAAUGAACUUCUCAUUGAAACAGAUCUUACUAUAGCUUGAAAGAGAACGUACCUAAUUAUGCAAGGACGAGAUUUAGAAGACAAAGAAGCCAAAUAACGAUUGAAACAAAAAAUUGGAGCUCAGCUAGCAAUGUGGGAGCAACAACAACCAAACAACUCCCCUUUCCGAGUUAUAUCCAAACCCAAAACCCAGCUAAGCACUCCAAUUUCGAGCUUUUCGAGUGAUGAAAAAGUUCUUUGAAGGCUCAGCUCUCCAAUUGAAUUUUUAAGCUACUUUCAAUUCUCAACAGCUUUUCGUUACUGUAUUUUUUGAGAGAAGUGUAGUGUAAUAUGAUGAGAGAUUUUUGUGCUCGAGAGAAAAGCAAAAGAAGCGGCUGAGUUUUUCGUUUUGAUGAAGAAGAAGAUCAAGAUCCAAAGGAGUCCUUCUGCGUCGUUCUUCUAUAUGCGUCCCUCUCUCAUUUGUUUUAGCUCCC